ensembl:lncRNA
CUUUUUUUCUUUAUAAGUCUGGCUAAAGGUUCAUCAAUUGUAUAAUUUUUUUUUUUCUCUUUUUCCUAAGGUAAGCUUUUCUUAAUAUAAACUUCCGUCUUGGAAUUGCUUUUGCUCGAACCCAUAGGUUUUGCCCUGAGGCUCAUACAGUAUGGAAAGAGAAACUCACCCUGCCUGCAAAGAGAGGCUGACUCCUAGCUCCUCCUCGGCUGCAUCCAGGCACGUGAGGGCCACCCCCUUCUGCUUCACUUUGUUCUGUGAAAGACGUCACGAGGACUGCUCAAGAGCAAACUCUCUUCGGCAUCUCCUCAGCAGGUUGCAAGUUGACGGCCAUCCUCGUCUCGGUCCAGAAUACAGCUAAAUUUUUAUCCAAAAAUACAGAUAAGGUUCCUUUCCCCCAGCCUUGCUCUUCAUUGGCUUUUGAGCAGCGAGCCACCAGACCCCC